CUUCAUUCUCUUAUAAAAGAGGCUCUGACUAGUAUCUAUAAAAUAACUGAGCUACAAUUAUAUAAAAAAUUUACUUUAUUCUGGAGAGCAUGCACAGAAUGUCAACGUUUGAAUCGGUUAUACUUGAGCAUUGUAAAAAAUUACGUCAUUGAGAGUUCACAUCAUCCUGUUGUCGUGUACACUCUAUUAAAAGUCAACGAUCACUUUCUUCAUCACAAAAUCCAAGCACAAUUUCCAACUGGACUUCUGCAGCCGUCCUGUCGUAUCUCUACACUUCACGCCGUCCAUCUUCCAGUAGUCAAUACUGAUACCAAAAAGUAUCGCGCGCCAGACUGGCUGUGCUUUGCGUUUGGCCAGCCCUCAUAUGCCAUCAGCAUGUUUCAUCCCCUCUGCGUUGUGUACCACUCGCUAAAGAGCUUGGGUGCCGCUCCUCGGAGCGUGUCGCUUGCUACGGAGUACGUGGGCUGGUCUUUCUUUGGUUGGAACGAUAAACUUUUAAAACACUUUAAAAAUCAAUUUGCAUAUUUCUUUAACAUCUUGGAAAAAAAUCCUCU